AAUGAACGUUGGCGGCAUGGAUUAGGCAUGCAAGUCGCACGAGAAACCAAUUAGCUUGCUAUGAGGUGGACAGUGGCGAAAGGGAGAGUAACGCGUGGUUACUUGCCCUCGGGACCGGGAUAGCGUCGGGAAACUGGCAGUAAUACCGGAUAACAUCUACGGAUCAAAUGGUGUGAUUCCGCCCGAGGAUAGGACCGCGUACUAUUAGCUUGUUGGUGAGGUAACGGCUCACCAAGGCUGCGAUGGUUACCGGGUGUGAGAGCAUGGCCCGGCUCACUGGGACUGAGACACUGCCCAGACAUCUACGGAUGGCUGCAGUCGAGAAUCUUCGGCAAUGGACGAAAGUCUGACCGAGCGAUGCCGCGUGCGGGAUGAAGGCCCUCGGGUUGUAAACCGCUGUCAGUUGUUAGGAAAUCUAUCGGGGUUCUCUCCGGUAGUUGACCGAUCUUCAGAGGAAGGACGGGCUAAGUUCGUGCCAGCCGCCGCCGUAACAC
rnacentral:rRNA from 1 species